CCUACGGGAGGCAGCAGUGAGGAAUAUUGGUCAAUGGACGGAAGUCUGAACCAGCCAUGCCGCGUGCAGGAAGACGGCUCUAUGAGUUGUAAGCUGCUUUUGUACAAGGGUAAGCCUGAAUACGUGUAUUCAGCUGAAAGUACUGUACGAAUAAGGAUCGGCUAACUCCGUGCCAGCAGCCGCGGUACUACGGAGGAUCCAAGCGUUGUCCGGAUUUAUUGGGUUUAAAGGGUGCGUAGGCGGAUUGAUAAGUUAGAGGUGAAAUGUCCGAGCUUAACUCGGGAACUGCCUUGAAUACUGUUGAUCUAGAGAGUAGAUGCGGUAGGCGGAAUGUAUGGUGUAGCGGUGAAAUGCUUAGAGAUCAUACAGAACACCGAUUGCGAAGGCAGCUGACCAAUCUAUAUCUGACGUUGAGGCACGAAAGCGUGGGGAGCAAACAGGAUUAGAUACCCCAGUAGUC
rnacentral:rRNA from 1 species